rnacentral:rRNA from 1 species
AUUCCAGCUUCAGUAGCGUAUAUUAAAGUUGUUGCAGUUAAAAAGCUCGUAGUCGCAUUUCUGGCGAGAGGAAUUGGUCCGACAUUUAUUGUGGGUACUCGAUUCUCUCUCGCCAUCCUUGAGUGGUCCGUUCUGGCAUUUAGUUGUCGGAGCGUCAGCCGCUCAUCGUUUACUGUGAGAAAAUUAGAGUGUUCAAAGCAGGCUUAUGCCGUUGAAUAUAUUAGCAUGGAAUAAUAAGAUAGGACCUCGGUGCUAUUUUGUUGGUUUGCGCACAGAGGUAAUGAUGAACAGGGACAGUUGGGGGUAUUUGUAUUUCGUUGUCAGAGGUGAAAUUCUUAGAUUUACGAAAGACAAACUACUGCGAAAGCAUUUACCAAGGAUGUUUUCAUUG